ensembl:snoRNA
ACGGCCCUCAAUCAAGGCCAGCAAUUUUCUGAAGCUGUUGGUUUCAAGCAAGAGCCUAAAGCAGUAUCUUUCUAUGGUCUGUUGAUAACUUCAGAACUUUAGAAAUGUAAUGGUCAAUUUAUUAGAAACAAACAAUU